rnacentral:lncRNA from 1 species
UGCUCCUAAUCUGUUAUAUUGAUCUAUUAACAAUGUUUUCCAUGGGGAUAUAUUCAAGGGGUCUAAAAGUUUAUUUAUCCAUGUCAUCUUUAAUGAAUAACAAAAAGAUCUUAUAUCUGGCAUUUUCAACCCCCAUUUUCAAAUAACCCUAUCAUAACUUUUCUUUUAAUCUUGUCUGGUUUUCCUGACCACAAGAAACUAAAAAAAUAUUUUGAAUUUCUUUUAU